AUCGAACGCUGGCGGCAUGCUUAACACAUGCAAGUCGAACGGCAGCACGGGCUUCGGCCUGGUGGCGAGUGGCGGACGGGUGAGUAAUGCUUGGGAAUCUGCCUAGUGGUGGGGGAUAACUCUCCGAAAGGGGAGCUAAUACCGCAUAAGUUCUACGGAGGCAAGCGGGGGAUCUUCGGACCUCGCGCAAUUGGUGGAGCCCAAGUCCGAUUAGCUAGUUGGCGGGGUAAAGGCCCACCAAGGCGACGAGCGGUAGCUGGUCAGAGAGGUCGAGCAGCAACACUGGGGCGGAGACACGGCCCAGCGUCCUACGGGAGGCAGCAGUGGGGAAUAUUGGACAAUGGGCGCAAGCCUGAUCCAGCAAUGCCGCGUGUGUGAAGAAGGCCUGCGGGUUGUAAAGCACUUUAAGCAGGAAAGAAGGGGUGGGAGUUAAUAUCUUUCAUCAUUGACGUUACCUGCAGAAUAAGGAUCGGCUAACUCCGUGCCAGCAGCCGCCGCCGUAA
rnacentral:rRNA from 1 species